rnacentral:lncRNA from 1 species
ACCACGUCUCUGCAUAUUGUUUCUGGAGUAACUGGAACUUCUGUGAAGUGCUGCUCAUUGUUACUGAGAUACACGGUAAGAAACAUCGGCAUCAUCUUGGACCCGAACCGCAUGGAAGCGGGUGGCCAGACUGCGGCCCCGGCCGAGCUGAGGUGCCCCGGAGGGUCGCGGAUGCGGGGGAGGGGAGCGGAGAGCGAGGCCGCCCGGACCUGUUGCGAGGCGGCGGCGGCGGCAGCGGCGGCGCGCGGGUCCGAAGGGCCCUCCGCGCGGGCUGGGGCACCAACAAGCCCCGGGCUCCCCCGCCCCGGCCGGGCCCCCUGACGCGGCUUUGUCUCUUCGACGCUCGUGACGGUCGGGGCUCCCUCCUCCGCUCCGAAACCAACUAAUCCCGGGUCGGGCCCCAGCCGAGCCCGUGCCGGCUCCGCCCCCCGCGCCGACCCCGCCCGCGGCGCGCCCGGCGGCCUGGGGGAGGGGCGGCCGCGGGAACGGGAGCUGCGCGCGCCUGCGCGGGCCCGGCUGGGUAGACGGGGAGCGGCGGGAGCCGGCCGCCUUUUCUUUCUUCGCCCCGGACUGAAGUGCGGUCGGGGCCGCGCGGCGGAGCGGCUGGAGCGCGCGCCUCCUAGCGGAGCCGGGGCAAUUGGAAGGCCGCGCCUCAGGAAAACAGGAUGGUAGUGAAUGGCACCGAGCCGCCCCAGGGCUGCCGCCGUCACCUCCUCGGCGGCUCCGAGUCGUGCGAGGCAGGGGACCCUUUGCCUUCAGAACAGGGCGCCCGACGUUGGGCGCGUGGACAGAGUCCUCCGGCGGCCGCGCCGCUGGGCCAGGCGGAGAGAGGCGGACGGACUUCAGGGGAGGCCCGGGCCACGCCGCGGAAACUACCCGACUCCCUGGAGGCGGCCAGGACCGACCCUGUCCCGACAAAAUGGAGUUCCCCGUGUGGCUUCAGCUCGCGGCGCGUUCCCAGAGCUCCUCAGUGAUCCGGCUUUCGGAUUGUUCGCCUUUCAUCUCAUUUGCCGUUGUCCAAAUUCUAAUUUAAAACUCAUGUGUUACUUGCUGUAAGGUUAACAAACGUACACCGCAAACUGGAUAAAGGGAUAACUUUUAUGUUGUGUAUGUUUUACCACAAUAAAAAUAAAUUUUGUAAAAAUGUGUCAGGCAGCAUUCUGAGGAGCUUCCCUGGGGGGUGCUGGGAACACCCUGCAAACAGCCUCCGAUACGGGGAGCCGGUGGAUACCAUCCUUUUCCAGGGAGGGAGGCCAAGGCCUAGGGAAAUGGCAGGGCUGCCUUCCAAAGAGUAGCAGAGCGGGUUCAGGCUUUUAUUCCACCUUCCAGAGAGACACAUACUGCGGGAACCCUAACUCCAGGAAGCUUUGUUCUAGUAAGUUGUCAGUGCAAGUUCACUCAGAAUCACUUUUCUCUGCCUUUAUACAUGAUUCUAGAACCUGAAGUGGGGUAAAUCCCCUGGGUUUAUCUAGUAUCAAGAACAGACAAUUCUUUCUUAGCCCACCAUAUCCCUUACCAGAAUCUCCAUCGAACUCCCUAUUGCACCAUCCCAGAUACUGUAUCUGGAAAUACUAAAUUACGGUUAAUUCAACUAGAAUUUAACGUUCUCGCCCGG